rnacentral:rRNA from 1 species
CCUACGGGUGGCUGCAGUGAGGAAUAUUGGUCAAUGGACGAGAGUCUGAACCAGCCAAGUAGCGUGAAUGCUGACUGCCCUAUGGGUUGUAAACUUCUUCUAUAUGGGAAUAAAAUGUUCCACGUGUGUGAUUUUGUAUGUACCAUAUGAUUAAGGAUCGCAUAACACCGUGCCAGCAGCCGCGGUAAUACGGAGGAUCCGAGCGUUAUCCGGAUUUAUUGGGUUUAAAGGGAGCGUAGGUGGAUUGGUAAGUCAGUUGUGAAAGUUGGCGGAGCAACCGUAAAUUUGCAGUUGAAACUGGAAGUCUUGAGUACAGUAGAGGUGAGCGGAAUUCGUGGUGUAGCGGUGAAAUGCUUAGAUAUCACGAAGAACUCCGAUUGCGAAGGCAGUUCACUGGACUGCAACUGACACUGAGGCUCGAAAGUGUGGGUAUCAAACAGGAUUAGAUACCCGUGUAGUC